GGUAGAAUUAGUUUAAUAGGUAAAAUGAUGUUUUGUGGCAACAAUGUACAGAGUUCGAUUCUCUGAUUCUACC
rnacentral:tRNA from 1 species